UCCGUGCCUUGCGGUGCGGUGGGUCGAAGUGUCGGUCGCCGGCCGGGCUUGGCACGGUGAGUGGUGGACGGACUAGCUCCCGAGCGCCGGACGCCGUGAAAAACCAUCCCGAUGCCGGGUACAUGACAGAGAUGAUAAGAACCCAAACCGAAGGGCGCAGCGCGCCAUCGGAU
rnacentral:rRNA from 2 species